rnacentral:lncRNA from 1 species
AGUGGAAGACUUAAGAUGGCGGCGUUUGCACGGAGUGCAAUCACUGCGUCCUUACGGGGGUUGCAAGGCGUCCGAAGUAUGAGUCCACUAACAAAAGUCCAGAAACUCGCCAGUUAAUAGUAUUGUGUCUCUUCAAAAUAUCGGAGAAUAAUUUCUUUCUCGCUGAUCGCCUAACUUCUACUGACGAAGCUUGGAAGUUGCAGAAGACAUGAUGUAUUGAGUAAAAGGAACUUCGGUACACAGGCCUUUAGUGAUGUGGUGGUAAGAUGUAUGGUACUGGCUCCUGUAUCACCCAGCUCUGGAGUUGAAAGAGCUCUUCAUUCCUGAGUCUCCUGUACCACUGAGAAUAGGCUGGAGUGCAGUGGCGCAAUCUCGGCUCUCUGCAACCUUCACCUCCCGUGUUCAAGUGAUUCUCCUGCCUCAGCCUCCUGAAUACCUGAGAUUACAAGCAUGCACCACCACGCCCGUCUAAUUUUGUAUUUUCACUAGAGACGGGGUUUCUCCAUGUUGGUCAGGCUGGUCUCGAACUCCCGACCUCAGGUGAUCCGCCCGCCUCAGCCUCCCAAAGUGCUGGGAUUACAGGCAUGAGCCACCGCGUCCAGCAAGAAUAGGUGAUUUUCAAACUUGGAAACAUUCAGAAGUUAUCGCCUCAGUUUCAGAUUGAGUAGUCUCAAAGAGAUUACAGACAUCUACCACAAAUUCUCUACUUGGUGUGGUGCAAAAUCAGUAUGAUGUAAACUUUGUCUCUCAGUUUCUUCAAAGGAAAGAAGCAACUGGAACACACAUAUAACACUAACCCUUCCAGCUGCAUUAUGAGGGACCAGUACCUGUCUCAAGGCAAAA